UGACAUAUCCUAAAGGAUCUUCUGGUGAUGGAACAUUCACAGUUGACCAGGUCAAAUUCAAGAACAGAGAAAAGUCUCAAGGUGUGAAUUUUCAGGGGAAGUAUCUUGAGUAAAGUGCAGGAAAACUCGCGCGUAUAAUUACUGAAUCAGCUAAUAACAAACAAAGUGUCGAUGACAUAACUGAUUUAUUCAUGAAAAUCAGUUGGAUUCAAUAUUCAAAGUGAAGGUCUUAAGAAAUUGUCAAACAUCGGACCAGAGGCUAAGUUAAAGGAAAGGGUCAAAGUGCUUGAUGAUGGACAAGAUCAUUUCUGUUGAAGAAAGAAGACAUUCUGCAAAUCAACAACACACAUCCAAAAUAACUUCAUAAUUGGUGGAAAGGAGGCUACAUCUAUUUCCAUUAUUUGGUUCAUUUACAUGCUCUGCAAACAUCCAUAAGAAAUCGAAGAAGCAACAAACAUGAGAAACAAAUUAAGUCACAUAGAUUUUGCAAACAGUGCGAGUGAAGAAAGCCUAGAAAUGAUAAGUAGCUUCAUGUAACUUGGAACAAAACUCUCGCGACUCUAUCCUGCAUCUCAGUGUGAUAGGGAUACGGAGCUAAUCCAUGAUCUAGCAGACUGCAGACUCGUAUUUGGUGCGACUAGACAAUUUGAAGUUAUACGAGGAUAAGUAAUGGACAAAUGUCUCAACAAGCCACACGCGUGGACAAAUGCUAUAGGCUGUUAAUUUCAAGGAACUUAUAAUUGAUGAAGAAUCAAUCGAGAUUACCUCUGAUGGCAAGUUACCACUAAUGAGGAUUAUGGAACUAGCCUAUGAUGUCAAUUGUCAAGUUACCAUCUGAUGAAGAUUAAGGGAACUUACCACUAAAGUGAGUUACCUCUAGUGAAGAUUGAUGAAGUCUUGCUAAUGAAGAAGAGAUGCCACGUGUUAGCCUAUCAUUUGACGAAGACAAUCUGUUGAGAGGAUGUUAUACAUAAUUGUCACUUGUCAAUUCCGUACGUCUCAACAAGAAUAUAGAUACACGAGUCUGUAUUGAUAUUAUUAUCACUUGACCCCAUAGUUGUUA